rnacentral:rRNA from 1 species
UACGUAGGGGGCGAGCGUUGUCCGAAGUUACUGGGCGUAAAGCGCGCGUAGGCGGUCAUUUAAGUCUGAGGUGAAAGGUUCAGCGCUCAACGUGAACAGUGCCUUGGAUACUGGGUGACUUGAGUUCGGGAGGGGGCAGUGGAAUUCCAGGUGUAGCGGUGAAAUGCGUAGAUAUUGGGAGGAACACCGGUGGCGAAGGCGGCUACCUGGACCGGUUCUGACGCUGAUGCGCGAAAGCGUGGGUAGCAAACAGG